CAAGUCCAAGUCCUCAUUGGUCUCCAGAUCCCACUCGAGGUCCAGGUCCAGGUCAAGAUCCAGAAGUCCUCCCCUCCCCACCCCACCCCACCCCCGUGUCCAAGAGGGAAUCCAAAUCUAGGUCAUGCUCCAAGAGUCCCCCCCAAAGUCUCCAGAGGAAGAAGGAUCAGUGUCCUCUUAAGAAAAUGAUGGAUCGGCAAACGGCUUAACAGAGGACUCUGGAGGAAAGGGCCACAAACUCAGUCCAUCAGUCCAUGAAAGAGUCCUUGGAACAUGCAAUUGGCUAUUGAAAAGGUUAUUUUGUAACAUUUGUCUAACUUUUUACUUGUUUUAAUCUGCUUCAGGUGGCAAACUUUAUUUUAUGUGCUAUUGUGUUGCUGUAAUUCAAAUUUCUUGUAAUUUAGUGAGGUGAACAACUUCAGAUUUCAUUAUUCGAUUGGAUAUUUGAGGUAAAAUUUCAUUUUUGUUUCUAGUGCUGACUUUUUUGGUUUGAAAUUAAACAGAUUGGUAACCUAAAA